CGCCGCCCCCUUUCUCCUACGCGAGCACCGCCUGCCGUGGCCGCCGUGCCCCGCGCGCCAUGGCCGCCGUCGCCCCUGCGCGUCGCGGGAUGUCGUCGCCGUCCUGCGACCCAGGCCGCGCCCCCAGCACCGUCAGGCCGCCGCCGAGGGCGCCGUGCCCCACCUGCUGAGGCCGUCGUCACCCUGCGCAGAGAAGCAGAGAAGAAAAAGAAGGGAGGAAGGAAGGAAGGGAAGAGGAGGAGGGACCAGUGCCGCCGACUUGCCGGAGACCCGGAGACCGUCGUCGCCCCUGCACAGCACCAAAGGAGAGGAGGAAAGAGCCUAGGGAAGAAGAGGAAGAGGAAGAGGAGGGAGAAGAGGAGAACAAGACGCCUGCAAUGUGUUUGAUGAAAUGCUCCAGCCACGUCGUCGCCUUCAAGCCAAGUGUUGCUGAACCACGAGCCUUCGUCACGCCGGCCACGUUCUACUCCUUCGCCCCUAGGUCCUGAUGUGGAGGAGUUGACCGACGUCCCGGAGACCAGAAGCCCCCGGAGGACCAGGAAGACUACGAAGACCUAUCAGCCUGAAAGAUGCAGGAUCCGAGAGAAGGAGUCGACAGGACGACAAAUGUGGAAGGAGUUAAGGAUAGCCCGAGCUACACUUCGAGCUGCCUGUGGAGAAGGAUCGAGAAGACUCGUGAAGAUGAAGUUUGCCCAGAAGACUAGAUGUCGUUUCCGCUUUCUGUUUGUUUUCUUUUAGCCCAAGGGGCUUGUACUCUGAGAUCCGUAAUACAAUCCUUUGGAUUACGUAAUAAAUAAACCCAUGUGAUGUUGUAAACGUGAGAUAUGUCUGUGAUAUUCGAUUGAAAUGGGUUCUGUAUGUCAUAGCUACUGAUCCAGGGACUAUCACGACGAUA